rnacentral:rRNA from 1 species
GCAAGUCGAGCGGUAGAGAGAAGCUUGCUUCUCUUGAGAGCGGCGGACGGGUGAGUAAUGCCUAGGAAUCUGCCUGGUAGUGGGGGAUAACGUUCGGAAACGGACGCUAAUACCGCAUACGUCCUACGGGAGAAAGCAGGGGACCUUCGGGCCUUGCGCUAUCAGAUGAGCCUAGGUCGGAUUAGCUAGUUGGUGGGGUAAUGGCUCACCAAGGCGACGAUCCGUAACUGGUCUGAGAGGAUGAUCAGUCACACUGGAACUGAGACACGGUCCAGACUCCUACGGGAGGCAGCAGUGGGGAAUAUUGGACAAUGGGCGAAAGCCUGAUCCAGCCAUGCCGCGUGUGUGAAGAAGGUCUUCGGAUUGUAAAGCACUUUAAGUUGGGAGGAAGGGCAGUAAAUUAAUACUUUGCUGUUUUGACGUUACCGACAGAAUAAGCACCGGCUAACUCUGUGCCAGCAGCCGCGGUAAUACAGAGGGUGCAAGCGUUAAUCGGAAUUACUGGGCGUAAAGCGCGCGUAGGUGGUUAGUUAAGUUGGAUGUGAAAUCCCCGGGCUCAACCUGGGAACUGCAUUCAAAACUGACUGACUAGAGUAUGGUAGAGGGUGGUGGAAUUUCCUGUGUAGCGGUGAAAU